UACAGAGGGGGCAAGCGUUAUUCGGAAUUAUUGGGCGUAAAGAGCGUGUAGGCGGCCUUACAGGUCAGCUGUGAAAACUCGAGGCUCAACCUCGAGACGUCGGUUGAAACCGUAAGGCUAGAGUCCGGAAGAGGAGAGUGGAAUUCCCGGUGUAGCGGUGAAAUGCGCAGAUAUCGGGAAGAACACCCGUGGCGAAGGCGGCUCUCUGGGACGGUACUGACGCUGAGACGCGAAAGCGUGGGGAGCGAACAGG
rnacentral:rRNA from 1 species